GAUGAACGCUAGCUACAGGCUUAACACAUGCAAGUCGAGGGACCGGCGCACGGGAGAGUAACACGUAUCCAACCUGCCCUUUACUCGGGGAUAGCCUUUCGAAAGAAAGAUUAAUACCCGAUAUAAAGGAUGGGGAUGCGUUCCAUUAGGUUGUUGGUGAGGUAACGGCGCACCGAGCCUUCGAUGGAUAGGGGUUCUGAGAGGAAGGUCGCCUACAUUGGAACAGAAACACGGUCCAAAGUCGUACUGGAGGCAGCAGUGAGGAAUAUUGGUGAAUGGGCGCUAGCCUGACCCAGCCAAGUAGCGUGAAGGAUGAAGGCUUAUGGGUCGUAAACUUCUUUUAUAUAAGAAUAUGUAUUAUAUGAAUAAGGAUCGGCUAACUCCGUGCCAGCAGCCGCGGUAAUAC
rnacentral:rRNA from 1 species